CAGGACUUGUCCAUCAGUGUUCCUCAGCAAGCUUUGAGACAAUGGUGCAAAAGAAUAACCUGUUACAAGUGCUGAAUACUGUAAAAGUACACAUGACCAAGGGAUUGCUACAGGGUUAUAAAAGGUUGUGAGCAUCUACAAUAAAUGUCUUCAUUCUGCACCAGCAAGAGUCUGUGCCUUGCUUGCCACAAAUGGUGCCCAAACAGGAACCCUGUAUUCGGGGUCAGCCUCAGGAGAUAAUUAAGGGAAGCUGAACCCAUGAACUUCUUAAAGGAAGCAGGAAUCAGGUCUGCUGAAAGGAAGCAGAAUCCGGGGUCACUAAAAAGAAGCUGAACCCUAAAAAGCUGCUGCAAGGAAGGAGCAGGCUGCACAGCCACAGUCACUUCUGCAGGAUGGAGGCACACUAAGAGAAGCUGAAAAAGAUGCAGAUGGAAGUGCAUUCAGACCUGCGAAUUUAUAUCCGUUUUGUACAAUUGGAAACACAUUCAGCAACAUCGACAGCGCUCAAAAUUGCUACACAACUACAUCAAAACAUCCAGCUUAUCCUGCAGCCGCUUGAUUAACAGAACAGCUGAAGUCAGCAAGUCCCUCAAGACGAUGCUGUUCUACAAACAGAACACUGCAGUGCUCUGCAUAAGACAGUUCUGUGGUGGUUUUUAAUAAGGAAGGCAUAUUUUUUGGAAUAAUAAGAUUAAAUAAAAUGUUGGAUUCAGUGGAUUCUUUUGCAUCAGUUGCAUACAGCCAUGCAACUGAAGAAUGAGGGAAAAGCACAUUGGUUUACCUUUCUUCAGCAGUUGCACUAACACCACAAGCAGUUACUGUAUGAGCUGGACAAUAACGUAGUAUUUACAGAUGCUGAAUAUCACCAAAGAUUAAUUAUAAUGUAUUUUCUAAUAUUAGAAUACAAAGUGUUAUUUUCUCUUGUAUCCAAUGAAUUAUUUUUCUUGAUUGAUUUGACACAUAACACAAAAUCACCUGAAAAUUUUAUCAUCAGUUAUUUCCAACUUUAUUUUGUUGCUGAAUGGAAAGAUUUGUCUCUUCUCUUGGAAGGAGAAUUAACGCUUGCUGCCCAAAUCACUGAUUUGCCUUCAGUUACCAUCUUGCACCUUCUCAAAUGACCCACUCUCAAACUGCAGGAGUUUCCAGCUUGUCCCAUUAGCAUGUAAUAGUUUGAAUUCAGCUUCCAGUUGUGCUCAAGACUAAGGAACCAAGACUAAGGAUCCUUUUUCUUGUCAGUGAAUUACAGGCUUUGAUUCAGACAGUAUACAACAGGAGUAGGGAAAACCUCUCUGUGAAUAAGUAUAAUCAUCUAUUUCUCUGCUAUCAGAGAUAGUAGAUGAUUAUACACUCUUGUAUUGAGGCAUUACAAAGACUCCAGUGAAGGAGUGUCAUCCAGAAAAAUGCAGUUGCAAUCUUCUGUCACAUACUUCUUCAACAUCCCCAUUCCUAAUGAAGAAAAUAAGAGCAUCUAAAAAUCAUUUAUAAACACUAACAGGAUAAUAGCUCAAGUGAUGCAUUAAAGCACAGAAAAAAUGGCAUCAUCUUUUAUGAUUCAGAGAUGCAAACUCUGCAACUGCAGUGUAUCCCCGCCCCUUGGCACUUCUUCCUCCAGCUAUUUCCACUUCACUAAAUACUGUAAUUCUCUUUAGUUUCUAUUGCUUCAAACUAGGAACAAGUCUGGUCACUUCCAUCCAUCUAAUAUGAUUUCAGUGGUAACGUGAACUUUCUCUUAAGCUUCGUGGAUAACCCAAAGAUAUGGCCUUUUCUUGCUGUGUAUUUUCAUCUUGACUCAAGGUAUGUCUUUCUUAGUCACCUCAAGAUCUGUCUAAGUCACCUCCUGACCAAGAGGAGAUAAAAAUCAUUUCAAGUGACUUAAGAGUUUGUAGCUUAUUUCUGAUUAUUCCAAAGUUUUCUUUUUUUGCCACUAUUAAAAAAAAAAAAGAACCUCAAACGGAGCAUUGAAAUUUGAGGUGUCAAAAAAUGUAAGCCAAGAUUUCUACUCUGCUUUGAAUAGUAUCACAGAAUAUGACCUUUACUGCUCAUUAUAUCACUUUCUUCUACAAACUGUAACAAAAUGCCUACUCAAGCAUUUCUCCCCAGGGCAGGGAGAAACUACAGAUCAAACAUCCAGCAAAGGUCUGCAAAAUAAGAGGUGCCUAAUAAGGGAAUCGUGUUCCUGGCAAACAUCCACUGGUUUUAUCCUUCCCUUCCUAUGAUCAAAAAUAAUUAGUUCAAUAGGCAAAACCGUAACACAUGCAAGGUUUCAUUCUGAGAUGCAUAUAAUAAAGUAAAAUGUAUCAGAAAAUAUAUCAAAACUUCUUCCAACACACAGCUUCCACUUACUGUGAAUAUACCACCAAAAUACCUCAAUCUUUUUCAUGUAGAUAUUUCAUCAGUGAGUCCUGACACUGCGACCUUUGAAGCAGGCAGCAGCAUUGCUGCUACGUGCUAUUAAACACCCACAGCAAAAGAAGAGAGGGUGAACUCUAUGCUUGGUUGUAACUUGAGGGGAAUGCAGGAGCAUUGCUGCUUUCCAAACAUGCCACAGGCAAGCAGUGCUUUCCAGGAUAAGAACCUGAAGAUACGUGUUGAAGCUGCAGACUGCAGAGUGCUCUUAUCUUUGUAAACAAGCUAACACAUUUCAUUUAGGUGCCAAAAUAAAAUGCAGAGGUAUCUUGACGAUAUCUUGAGCACCUUGCUUAGCUGGCAUGAAAGAGUAGGACUCGCUGACCUCAAAACUGUCCAACUGAUUUACAUCUGAAAGAAAGCAGAGGAUUUUUUUGUUGUAUUUACUUCUCAUAGGCUUUUCUAAGAUGAUUCAUGAACACAGAUGUCUUCAAAAAGUAUUUUUCUUACUGAAGUGAUGCUCUAUCUCAGGAAAUAUCUACUGUGAUACUUGACUAUAAGGAGAAUUUCAGAAAUAGGACAUUCAUCUUUUAUUAACCUCAUUAAAAUUAAAAAAACAUUUUCAUCGCUAUUUUGGCUCUAUAUGCUGGCAUUUUUAUAUUUAAUAAUAAUAAUAAUAAUUCCACAUUCACCACAAUGAUUUAUAGAAGAAUUCAUAUCAAUAAAAUGACACCUUGUAAAAUCUAGCCAAAGCUGAGGUGGGCAGAUGCAGCCUAAUGAGUAGCAGUUUCAAUUCAUCAUUAAGCAUUCUAGAAGAGUUUCAGUAUUUCAAUUCAUUUUAUAGCAAUGGGUACUUUCUUCGCUUAUGCAACAGAGUUCAUUUUUAAUGUGUUUUAGUUAAAUAUAUGGCUUAACUAACAAGAUGUAAAUACAAGUACUACAGAGCACACACACCAUGUCAGGACUGUAACUGGUUUUACCGUCCCAGUACAGAUGUAAGAAUUCAGAUAUGCAGUUAGAUAUGUCUUUCUAGAGUUUUAGGAUUUAAGCAAGGCAAAGUAGCACACACAACCAACAUUCAGUUCAGCACUUUUCCUGUGUAUUGAGGAAACAAUAACUAACCCUAAAAACCCCAUUGUUCCUGGCUACCAAGUGACUUUAUUACCCAUGAUAAUACUAACACAUGUUCCUCAUCAGAGCCUUUAGGAAAAAUUUACACAUGCUCCCUAGUAACAAAGGUAGCAUAUGCAAAGUCCUUCAGACACAAUAAUUAUAUAUUUUUCUUUUCCUCCCUCCGUGCAGUAACAACCCAUCCUUUUCUUUUUCCUCCCCUUCCCCUGAAAAAUCACUGUUGCAGCAUUUGGGAGGCAUCACAGUUUUUAAAGUAUGAAGCUUUACCAUUAGAUGGAUCUCCAGCUGAUCAGGAGCCUGAGAAAAAAAGGAAAAGCUCACUGCAACAAUAGUCUCAGCUUUGGUUAAAAUAUAUAAAUAUAUAGUCUUAUUCCUUCAGCAAGAUUUCAAAACACCCAAUACAAAUCCAUUAAGCAGCAGCCCCAGGUCUAUUAUGAAAACCAUCACCUCCCACUUGCACUCUCUGAGUUGGGAGAAGAGUGCACUUCAGGGUUUUCAUCUGGAUUUCACAGAAUCACAGAAUCACAAAAUUAUCAAGGUUGGAAAAGACCUAGAAGAUCAUCUAGUCCAACC